rnacentral:rRNA from 1 species
ACGAACGCUGGCGGCAUGCCUAACACAUGCCAGUCGAACGAGACCUUCGGGUCUAGUGGCGCACGGGUGCGUAACGCGUGGGAACCUGCCCUUAGGUUCGGAAUAACUCCCUGAAAGGGGUGCUAAUACCGGAUAAUGUCUUCGGACCAAAGAUUUAUCGCCUUUGGAUGGGCCCGCGUUGGAUUAGCUAGUUGGUAGGGUAAAAGCCUACCAAGGCGACGAUCCAUAGCUGGUCUGAGAGGAUGAUCAGCCACACUGGGACUGAGACACGGCCCAGACUCCUACGGGAGGCAGCAGUGGGGAAUAUUGGACAAUGGGCGAAAGCCUGAUCCAGCAAUGCCGCGUGAGUGAUGAAGGCCUUAGGGUUGUAAAGCUCUUUUACCCGGGAUGAUAAUGACAGUACCGGGAGAAUAAGCGCCGGCUAACUCCGUG